rnacentral:rRNA from 1 species
GAGCUCAAAUUUAAAAUCUGGCGUCUUUCAGGCGUCCGAGUUGUAAUCUAUAGAGGCGUUUUCCGCGCCGGACCGCGUCCAAGUCUCUUGGAAUAGAGUAUCAAAGAGGGUGACAAUCCCGUACUUGACGCGACAACCGGUGCUCUGUGAUACGUUCUCAAUGAGUCGAGUUGUUUGGGAAUGCAGCUCUAAAUGGGUGGUAAAUUCCAUCUAAGGCUAAAUAUUGGCGAGAGACCGAUAGCGAACAAGUACCGUGAGGGAAAGAUGAAAAGCACUUUGGAAAGAGAGUUAAACAGCACGUGAAAUUGUUAAAAGGGAAACGA